GGUGACAUAGCUCAGUUGGUAGAGCAAAGGACUGAAAAUCCUUGUGUCGGGGGUUCAAUUCCCUCUGUCACCA
rnacentral:tRNA from 1 species